rnacentral:tRNA from 1 species
GGAGAGAUGGCCGAGUGGUUCAAGGCGUGGCAUUGGAACUGCCAUGUAGGCUUUUGUUUACCGAGGGUUCGAAUCCCUCUCUUUCCG